UCCUAGGGGGCAAAUCCUCCAACACGAACCUGAUCGCUUGUCACAGAAGCAACUUGCCAUGAAAUCCGCUAAUGCGCCGCGACUCGCCCACCGGGCAUGUAGCCACAGCAAAUUAUUGCUCAUUUGAUACCGAGAAUUCUAUUGACCAUCGCUUUCAUUGGAGAGAAUUCUAACUACUCCGCCGCUUUAUAGUCAGUCAGAGCUAAGGCUGAGGACGUUCCUCUGCUAAAACUGAAGUAAAUUGAGCCCUCUGCCUCCAGGAAUUGAUGGAGAUGUGUUCAUUACAUUGGGCCACGUGAACAUGCAUAGAAAUCUGCUUUUUACUCUGCCGACCUUGCCCCCAUUCAUGCAAAAGGUCGGCCCCUUUGGAACUGAUCUGCCGACUUGGAGAGCUAGGUAUUCGUUUGCCUCUCCUGGAUCCCUUCUGGCAACUUCCUUCCAUCUCUGACCAGGGUUGGGGUGAUGGAAAUGAUGCAGAGGAAGCAUGCUCCCCUGGUCGAUCCUGUGCUCAAAAUCAGCCCAAUUUGGACACCUACAGAAAUCAUUAAACCUCCCCGUUCCCCCCCCCCCCAAAAAAAAGAAGCCUCAUAAAAAUAUCUGGAUGAGUGACUUUAUGGUCUGGAUAUUAUUUCCUAAAUUAAACUGACCCCACACACACACACACCAAGACCCCACCUCAUCGGAGAGGGCCAAGUCAGGGAGGUGGGAGCUCUGAGAUCAGCCUCUGUUCUCUUUUACUGUUGGCAAUGGGCGUCUAGAGGAGAAUGUAAAGAGAAGGCAAAUCCUGCUCUCACGCCAGCAGCGGUACAAGUGGAAGCUGGAGCCUAGUGAAGGUCUGACCUUUGACCCUCAAACCCGCAGCUCUGGGGCUCUCAAUGCUGGAGAGGGAGCCCAGUCGCGAAAAGAGGUUGGAGAGAAGGACGGGGAAGGGAAAGAAGUCGAGUUUGUUGGUGGCUGAUUCUGCCUUGACACAGGAAGGAGCUGGAGCUACCACACAGCAGAGGCCACCCGACGCCCCAACCCUCGGUACGCUUUCCUCCUCCGUAACGCUGCUCCUCAGACCCCGCCCGGUCAGGACCCACGCGCCCUCGCCUCUUCCUUUUGGACGUCUCCGGGAAAGGUGCCCUACUUAAGGGUGCGCUGACCGGGCGGGGCAGGAGCAGAAAGCGACAUCGAGCCGGACACCGGGAGAAGGCUGAGCGGGUGGGGCUCGACUUCUAGCCCGGUGACAGCGCCCAACCCGGACUGUCAGAUUUCCAAGGAACACGCAAUCCACAUCCGCUUCACCUUAAGCCCUCGACCCCAAGAAGAGGCCAGAAGACCUUGGAGAAGCCAUGUUCCCGAGGACUUCGUAGAAGAGAUGGUUGGGUUGUGUUUCAUUUCCGCAACCUCUAGGAGAUAAGUCCUCUCGGUUCCAGAACAAAGGAGAGCCAAUUAAAGACUUUAACAAACGCAUCCGCGGUCUGUGCAGCCGAUGAAACAGCGCCAGCUCCAAAUCCGAAGGCGCAUGGAACUCUAAGGGACCAGGCUUGGUAUUUUCCUAAUGGUGCUAAGUGCGCGUGAAGCUAUUCGCACUCUCUCGCAGGCGGCGCUCCCUGAACCCUAGCGCAGUUGGGAGCCACUUUGUUCUAGAACAAGGCAGUGAACGAGUGGGAGCGUGCUCUGGGCACGCUGGUCUCUGACCCAGCAGCAGCUGAGAGACGAGGGUAGAUUCUAACUCGGCUACCGGGGAUGAGGGGCUGGGGGAGGGAAGUUUAAGCCGAGAUUCACAUAGUGGAUUUUUUUUUUUUUUUUGCAUUUUCUUUUUGUUUUUAACGUAGCUAAAUAACCCUCCCGCGUUGGUAUAACCAAAACACGCCCAACAGAAUCGUGUUCCUCGUAUGCGCACACCGCACCGCCGGCCACAUUUGGAGAAUCCAGCCCACAGAGGUUUCCAAAACCCCAUUUUCCUGAUUGCAGCCCAGACUCUGGAAACCCACAAGCCUUCAUCAUCGGAAGGGAGCCUGAUUCCGGCCAAGCAGAGGGUCAGGCACACACACUCUCCAACCUAUACAUGCACACAGGACCAGAGGCUGCGCUUACUGGGAUGGAAGAUCCAGGGUGGCUGGAUGGUGAUCUGGGAGGCUGUGACUGAGUGAAAGCAGUGUCAUCCUUAGAGUUAUUUAAGAAAACAAGACCUGGGACCUGGAUUUGAGUUAAAGAAGUUAGGGGCAUGGGACACUUGGCCCAGCAUUUCUUUGGAUUCAAGUGGAACUGAGAACUGAGGAAGCCCAGGGCAUUGCUGCAAACUGGCGAUUAGGAAAUAUAUUAUCCUUGCACAUACAGCUGCACAUAUCUUCUCCGAUGACGAACUCAUCCCUGAGCAGGGGGGGGGGGGGGUCUCUGGCACCGUCACUGAGCGUCACAGCUGCCCUUUCGGCCUCUUCCAGGUUUUGCCAGGCAAAUGAAAUGCGCAGAACUCCAUAGUAAAUUAUUUUGUUCAGCUCUCUGUCUUUUUAUGAAAAUAAAAGGCAACACUUUGUCAUUUUUAAUCAUAUAAGCAGACAAUAAACCUAAUUUUGUUAUUGAUUUUU